UAUUUUGUUUUGUUUAACAUGCGUAAGGGGCUGUGCUCAUUGAUGAAGGCCGUAUGGUGAUCUAUAGUUGUUAAUAUCCGUGUCAUUUUUGGUCUUUUGUGGAUAGUUGUCUCAUUGGCAAUCAUACUAGAUCUUCUUUUUAAUAUUGUUACAAAUAUUAAAAAAAAAUUAGAAAAAAACGACGGAGCCUGCAAAGGGGUAGUUGUAAGUAUUAUUUCUCGGUUUGUCG
rnacentral:lncRNA from 1 species